GACGAACGCUGGCGGGAUGCCUUACACAUGCAAGUCGAACGGCGUGGCGAACGGGUGAGUAAUGUCUCGGAACGUGCCCAGUAGCGGGGGAUCACUACGCGAAAGCGUAGCUAAUACCGCAUACUAUUGGAGCGGCCGCUGUCGGAUUGGCUAGGUGGUGGGGUAACGGCUAACCAAGGCGACGAUCCGUAGCUGGUCUGAGAGGACGACCAGCCACACUGGGACUGAGACACGGCCCAGACUCCUACGGGAGGCAGCAGUGGGGAAUUUUGGACAAUGGGGGAAACUCUGAUCGAGCCAUCCCGCGUGUGCGAUGAAGGCUUUCGGGUUGUAAAGCACUUUUGGCAGGGAAGCGGUACCUGCAGAGUAAGCAACGGCUAACUACGUGCCAGCCGCCGCGGUAAUUC
rnacentral:rRNA from 1 species